GACGAACGCUGGCGGCGCGCUUAACACAUGCAAGUCGAGCGAAGCGGCGGACGGGUGAGUAACACGUGAGUAACCUGCCUUAGACAUUGGGAUAGCCUCGGGAAACAGGGAUUAAUACCGAAUAGUCUAAGAUGGACUCGCGUCCCAUUAGCUAGUUGGUGGGUAACGGCCCACCAAGGCGACGCGGGGUAGCCGGACUGUGAGGUUGAACGGCCACAUUGGAACGGAGAAACGGUCCAAACUCUACGGGAGGCAGCAGUGGGGAAUAUUGCACAACGGAGGGAAUUCUGAUGCAGCGACGCUGCUUGAACGAAGAAGGCUUGCGAGUCGUAAAGUUCUUUUAUAUGGGAAGCGGUACCAUAAGAAAAAGCCCCGGCUAACUACGUGCCAGCCGCCGCGGUAAUUC
rnacentral:rRNA from 1 species